UACGGGGGGGGGCGAGCGUUGUUCGGAAUCACUGGGCGUAAAGGGCGCGUAGGCGGCCCGCACAAGUCUGCGGUGAAAACCUCCGGCUUAACCGGGGGCCGGCCGUGGAAACUGUCGGGCUGGAGGCUGGGAGAGGGCAGCGGAAUUCCCGGUGUAGCGGUGAAAUGCGUAGAGAUCGGGAGGAACACCGGCGGCGAAGGCGGCUGCCUGGACCACAACUGACGCUGAUGCAGCGAAAGCUAGGGGAGCGAACAGG
rnacentral:rRNA from 1 species